UGCUUUCUGGCUAGAAUCGGCUUUCGGAAUGAGAUGCCACUAUUUCAAAGGGUUGGGUACAAUCGAAUUUGAGAUUCGGUUCGCAAAUUGGACUUCGUCUGAAUUCGCGAAUUUCGAGGACAAUACCAUAAUGCGCGGUAUCUGAGGACAUUCCAAGAUUCAAAUCGUUCACUUUGUGACGAUACGUGGAAGAGGCUGGAGUGGUCUUAUUUAGUGAACCGCGCCGUGGUGUGUUGAAAAAGUGAAGCGCAAUAGCAUAAAGCGCAAUUAAAUUCUGGUAGGCGACUAGUGCGAGUAGAAACGAAGAUUAGAAGAUUCGUAGCAGCAUCGGUUUAUUGCCGACACAUCACACCUUUCGUUACGACCGCUCUUAGACCCCACCUAUCGGCUGCAAAGUUUUCCCGGGGUGCACGUGGCCGGAAGAAGGCGGCGUCCGUAAGUUCCCGCGCCUUAGGCAGGCAAACCAACCGUAGUUCGAUCGUCGCGGUCCACGUCGACGAGAAGAAAGCUUUGGUCCGUGUAGAAUCCAUCGACGUCAUCGUACGCAUCAUCACCGGUCGCUUAACAUCUGCCGACGUCAUCGCGCGCACGGCCGGUGCGGCCCUACAUCAGCGUCCCG